GGAAUGUCCCCAGUUCCCUUGAGAAUUAGUGGUCAUACAGCAGCAAAGCUUCAGGUACCUUAAAGAUAAUCUUUUUAUCCCAUCUCAUUCAGCAGAAGAGGACUUUGGGCCUCAAGGUUGUCAUAACAAAUCCGUGCAAGCACUCUAGCUCCACAAUCCACUCAUCUUCUGUUUCUUUAUCUGUACAAUGUCGUGAUGGAAGAUUAGAGGUCAUUUGUGUCACAUGCUCGGAAUGGAUGAGACAGUCUAUGGAAAAAUGGCAAGGCAGCAGGUUCCCUUCUGGCCCAAGGUGUGUCUAGAAAUGUCAUCUAGGGGCUAGGGCCUGGAACAAGGGCCUCAUGGCUCUGACUCAUGGCUCUGACCCACAACCUAUCCUGCUGUGAUUGAGCUGGUAUCCAAGAUGCAAGACAAAGUCCUGCCCACACUUCCCUCUCCUCUUCUCAAGUGGAAGGAAGGGGUUUCUUUUGGAGCCAUGAGCCAUAUAGCCUGGGGUUAGGGG
rnacentral:lncRNA from 1 species